rnacentral:rRNA from 1 species
UACGUAGGGUGCAAGCGUUGUCCGGAAUUAUUGGGCGUAAAGAGCUCGUAGGCGGUCUGUCGCGUCGAAUGUGAAAACCCGGGGCUCAACCCCGGGCCUGCAUUCGAUACGGGCAGACUAGAGUUCGGUAGGGGAGUCUGGAAUUCCUGGUGUAGCGGUGAAAUGCGCAGAUAUCAGGAGGAACACCGAUGGCGAAGGCAGCUCGCUGGGACGGUACUGACGCUGAGGCGCGAAAGCGUGGGGAGCAAACAGG